rnacentral:rRNA from 1 species
CAGCCGCCACGGGAAUACGUAGGGCGCAAGCGUUGUCCGGAAUUAUUGGGCGUAAAGAGCUCGUAGGCGGUCUGUCGCGUCUGGUGUGAAAUCCCGAGGCUCAACCUCGGGCUUGCAUCGGGUACGGGCAGACUAGAGUGCGGUAGGGGAGACUGGAAUUCCUGGUGUAGCGGUGGAAUGCGCAGAUAUCAGGAGGAACACCGAUGGCGAAGGCAGGUCUCUGGGCCGCAACUGACGCUGAGGAGCGAAAGCAUGGGGAGCGAACAGGAUUAGAUACCCCAGUAGUCCCUGUCUCUUAUAA